CACAUAAACAAAAUUAUCCUUGGGGUCCUCACUAAUUUGUAGGACUGUAUAAAUAUCCUGACCAAAAUGUUCUGAAACUAUCUGACUCCACAGUCGCUGGGCCGGGACUCAGGGACAGUGUGACCAGAAUUCUCGGUGCAGGAGAGGAGGGAUCAGGGCAAAGUCCCAGAUGUCCCACAAAGUACCAGAUGUAGUUCUCACAGUCUCAGCGUCUCAGAGUCAAGGGCCUUGUUUGCGGCGGGGGUGCUGUCUGUGUUGGGAUCCCUAGUCUCCUCGAGUUUCACUUUCUCUUCGCAAACUGUGUUGUGCCUUUCUGCCGGGACACUCGCGUCGCGGCCCUAGUUCUCACUCCCAUUGGGUGUCUGGUUUCUAGAAGCCAAUCAUCGGUCCUACGGUUCCAGGUUAUAAAGUUUCUACCGGUUCCCACGCCCACCCCCACCCUCCACCGGGACUCGGUUUCUCCCCAGACCCGGAGGAUACGGGUCAUGGGGCCGCGAACCCUCCUCCUGCUGCUCUCGGGGGUCCUGGUCCUCACGGAGACCUGGGCCGGCUCCCACUCCCUGAGCUAUUUCUGCACCAGCGUGUCCCGGCCCAGCCUCGGGGAGCCCCGUUUCUUUGCCGUCGGCUACGUGGACGACACGCAGUUCGCGCGGUUCGACAGCGACGCCCCGAAUCCGAGGAUGGAGCCGCGGGCGUCGUGGAUGGAGCAGGAGGGGCCGGAAUACUGGGAAGAGAUUACAGGAGAUGCCAAGAAAGCUCAACAGAGAUUGCGAUCAGGCUUGAACACCCUGCCCGGUUUCUACAACCAGAGCUAGGCCGGGUCUCACACCCUCCAGUGGGUGUUUGGCUGCGACGUGGGGCCGGACGGGCGCCUCCUCCGUGGGAUCUGGCAGAACGCAUAUGAUGGUGCGGAUUACCUCGCCCUGAACGAAGACCUGCGCUCCUGGACCGCGGCGGACACGGUGGCUCAGAUCACCAAGCGCAAGUGGGAAAUCUCCGGUGAGGCUGUUCCAACGGAACUUGACCAACGGAGGUCAAGUGCGUGCAGUGGCUCCGCAGACACCUGGAGAACGGGAAGGACACGCUGCUGCGCGCAGACCCUCCAAAGACACGUGUGACUCAUCACCCCAUCUCUGACCGUGAGGUCACCUUGAGGUGCUGGGCCCUGGGCUUCUACCCUGAGGAGAUCUCACUGACCUGGCAGCGUGACGGGGAGGACCAGACUCAGGACAUGGAGCUUGUGGAGACCAGGCCUUCAGGGGAUGGAACCUUCCAGAAGUGGGCAGCCCUGGUGGUACCUUCUGGAGAGGAGCUGAGAUACACGUGCCAUGUACAGCAUGAGGGGUUUCAGGAGCCCCUCACCCUGAGAUGGGAACCUCCUCAGCCCUCCGUCCUCAUCAUGGGCAUCAUUGUUGGCCUGGUUCUCCUAAUGUUUGCUGUGGUGACUGGAGCUGUGAUUUGGAGGAAGAAGCGCUCAGGUGAAAACGGAGGGGGCUACACCCAGACUGCAAGUAGUGACGGUGCCCAGGGUUCUGAUGUGUCUCUCACAGUUCCUAAAGUGUGAGACAGCUGCCUUGUGGGGACUUAGUGAUGCUCUGUACCACUUUGUGACGUCAGAUCCCCGGACCCCUCUUUCUGAAGCUGCAUCUGAAUGUGUCUGUGCUCCUAUUAGCAUAAGAUGAAGAGGUGGGGAGACUGCCAACCUCUUCCAAUCCAAACUCUGGGAUUUAAAAAGCGGUACCUAAUAGUCACAGCCUCGAUUCUUUUCUGAAGAGAAAAUAUCAUUAUAUGUAGAGUGAAGACUGGUGGAUGUGAGAGGGAGGGGUGAUCAGAUCUUGUGGGGAAAGUACAGGCAGCACGGAUGUCAGUGUGAAUGGAUAAUGUACUGUAGCUGCCGUGAGAGAGCAAGUGGCCUGAGUUCACAUUAAUAAAUAUAGAAUACAGAGGCGUCUACACUCAUCAUUCCUUCAUCUGAUAUUUGUUGUGUGCCAAAUAGAUGACGCUCUAUAUUUGCAUCUGGGAAACCUCAGUGAACUAACAACAGACACACUUUGUUGGCCUCGUGCCCUAUGUUCUGGUGAGAUGGGGCAGAGUGAGCCUAUAAGUGAGAAAAGUGUCUGCCUAGAGACUGGCAAGUGCUCUGAGGAAGGUUACCGAGAGUAGAAGUGUGUGGGUACAGGGAAUGUGGCUGUUUUACUAGGGUGGUCAGUGUAGGCCUCGUUGAGGAGAUGAUAUCGGAGUAAAGAUGUGAAGGACAUGAGAGAAUGUCCACUAGGAUGUCUGGGGGAAGUUCUCUCCAGGCAGAGGAGACGCCAGUGCAAAUGCAGGAGGGCAGGAGAGUGUCUGUGAUUAAGGAAGAGCCAGGAGGCAGGUGUGGGUGGGGGAAUGAGGAAUUGAGAUGAGAUCCAGUGUCUGGCCAGAUCAUGUGUGCCUCCAGCAUAUUGGAAGGUGUCUGGUGUCUGUGAAAGAUGUGGACUCAUAAGAUGGUUUGAAUAGAAGAUGACCUGGUGUGACUGCUCGCUAGGAGCGUCAGUCUAACUGCUGUGCAAAAUCAGGAGGUGAAGGGUGAGCGAUGCAGUAGAGGAGCCUGUAGGAUUAGUGCGGGGUCCAGGUGGGGAUGCUGGUGCUCCCUGGACCCUCAUUAAAUCUAGACAGUCGUGAGUAGAGCCUGUUCGUGAUAAGGUUGGUGCUGAUGCUGCUGGUCUUCAGAUCACACUUUUAGUAGCAACAAAGUACGUAGACCAGGAUUCCCACAUGCUGUGUAUCAGCCUCACACACAGAGGUUGUUAAAUAAGCAAUCCCUUGGUCUUGUCCUAAUACUCUGAGAAGGUGGUUCUGGGGAGAGGCUGAGCAUUUCGGAAAAGCCCCACAAGCAAUUCUGACGAUCAGCCAAUUUGGGAAGCCCUGAGGUAUACGAGAGCGAGUGGCCAGAGAGGGGCCUUAAAUCCACAUUUAAAAGUGGUUUUUUUCUUCAGAAAGAAAAGGGAAUUUAUAUUGACAAUUCAUAUUGUCAAUUAUGAGGUGUGAUGUUGAGAAAUAAUGUUGUUCUUCUUCCACCUGAAGACUUAGGCAGUGGUUCAGAGUUCAGCAUAAUGAAAUCCUUGCUCUCUGAAACUAUUCUCCAGGUUGAGUUCUCCUCACUCAUUCUUGGAGCUAACAAUGGGAUCCAAAUUAAGUUAGACAUACAGUACUAUAUAUAUAUGGCUGCAUGGGAACAGGAUCCACGGUGUCCACUCCAGGCCAGGUCCCACAAUGGAACUUUCGCUCCUGCUGGGGCACAGUGUCACUGCUCACACAGUGAGCCCCUUGUGCUGGACGUGGAUCCCGCGCUGAGGACGGCUAUCACUGAGGCUCCUGACAACUGGAUGUGGUGUGACUCCCACUCUUGACACCCUUGUCAGAUGCAUCCUGCAUAGUUUCAGCUUCUCUGUGUCACAACGGCCUGAGUAGAUUCUGACAUGUGGUCACCUGAGUGAUGGGAGCUCAGCAUCAUGCUGUGUGCUUUGGCAAGAAUAUUUGGGAAAGUGGGUUUUCUUCUUUAAUGGAGGAAGGUGGUCUCUGCCUCCUACCAAGAUUCAGUGUGGAAUUUUCCUAAUCUGGAAAUGCUCCUAAUCAGGUGAGGGGGAGAGAGGGAUGGACAAGAAUGUCAAAUUUCAAUUGUUAGAGCAAUGAUCUGGAACUGGAACUUGAUCUGGUACAAUGUAGGCACUCAGGUUUGACUGAAAGAACAAGUGACUAAUAAAUGACAUCCAGGGUAGAGA